rnacentral:rRNA from 1 species
CAAGGAAUUUUCCACAAUGGGCGCAAGCCUGAUGGAGCAACGCCGCGUGGGGGAGGACGCCCUUCGGGGUGUAAACCCCUUUUUCGAGGGACGAAGCAGAUGACGGUACCUCGGGUAAUCAGGCCCGGCUAACUACGUGCCAGCAGCCGCGGUAAGACGUAGGGGCCGAGCGUUGUCCGGAGUUACUGGGCGUAAAGGGCGCGCAGGCGGUGGUCCGCGUCGGCGGUGAAAGUCCCCCGCUCAACGGGGGAGGGUCCGUCGAAACGGGAUCACUCGAGGCAGGGCGAGGUCGGUGGAAUUCCCGGUGUAGUGGUGAAAUGCGUAGAUAUCGGGAGGAACACCAGUGGCGCAGGCGACCGACUGGACCUGACCUGACGCUGAGGCGCGAAGGCGUGGGGAGCGAACGGGAUUAGAUACCCGCGUAGUCC